GAUGAACGCUGACAGAAUGCUUAACACAUGCAAGUCAUUGGCGAAGCUGCGCUUGCGCAGUCUAGCCAAGGCGGACGGGUGAGUAACGCGUCAGGAGCUUGCCCUGCAGACAGGGAUGACAGACGGACACGACUGAUAACACCUGGUAUUGUCAGCCUGGCGCGUGCGGGCCUGAUGAGAGGAGACGCUGCAGGAGAGCCUUGCGUCCUAUUUGCUAGUUUGUGGGGUAACGGCCCACCAAGGCGAUGAUAGGUAGCCGGCCUGAGGGGGUGAACGGCCACUAGGGGACUGAGACACCGCAGUUACCCCCACGGGAGGCAGCAGUGGAGAAUAGUGGACAAUGGGGGCAACCCUGAUCCAGAAAUUCUGUGUGCACGAAGAAGGUUUUCGGAGUGAAAAGUGCUUUCAGGAGGGAAGAAGAAAGUGACGGUACCUGCAGAAGAAGCGACGGCUAAAUACGUG
rnacentral:rRNA from 1 species